rnacentral:rRNA from 1 species
CAAUAGCGUAUAUUAAAGUUGUUGCAGUUAAAAAGCUCGUAGUUGGAUUUGUGGCGUACGGUGUGUUCCGGGCACUUGUUGUCUGAGUAACCUGCUGUUGCCAUCCUUGGGUGGAACCUGUGUGGCAUUAGGUUGUCGUGCAGGGGAUGCCCAUCAUUUACUGUGAAAAAAUUAGAGUGUUCAAAGCAGGCUUAUGCCGUUGAAUAUACUAGCAUGGAAUAAUGAGAUAGGACUUUUUUGCUAUUUUGUUGGUUUGCGCAAAGAGGUAAUGAUUAAUAGGGACAGUUGGGGGUAUUCGUAUUCCAUUGUCAGAGGUGAAAUUCUUGGAUUUUUGGAAGACGAACUACUGCGAAAGCAUUUACCAAGGAUGUUUUCAUUAA